rfam:Jatropha curcas cultivar GZQX0401 scaffold684_15, whole genome shotgun sequence.
AAGAAAACGAGAUAUUGGUGCGGUUCAAUCAGAGAGCAGUGCUCUACUUAUAGAGCUUUUGUUGUUUGAUUGAGCCGUGCCAAUAUCACGUAUUAGCUA